CAGCAGCCGCGGUAAUACGUAGGUGGCAAGCGUUGUCCGGAAUUAUUGGGCGUAAAGCGCGCGCAGGCGGAUCGGUCAGUCUGUCUUAAAAGUUCGGGGCUUAACCCCGUGAUGGGAUGGAAACUGCCAAUCUAGAGUAUCGGAGAGGAAAGUGGAAUUCCUAGUGUAGCGGUGAAAUGCGUAGAUAUUAGGAAGAACACCAGUGGCGAAGGCGACUUUCUGGACGAAAACUGACGCUGAGGCGCGAAAGCCAGGGGAGCGAACGGGAUUAGAGACCCCUGUAGUCCCUGUCUCUUAUACC
rnacentral:rRNA from 1 species